AUGUACAUUCCUACAACAUAGUGUUAAUUCAACAGAUUCUAUUAGAACUCUGUAGUUAAGUGCACUCAGGCUAGAAGCCUGAGUAGUACUGGACUGGGUGACUACCCAGGAAGUCCUAGUGUUUUACAUG
rnacentral:rRNA from 1 species